AUGGAGAAGUGGUCACUGGUGCAUGACACGAAGGGGGCCAGGUACGGCAUCAUGGGCGCUGAUAUAUCAAAUAUAUACAAGAAUGACCCUGUAUUGAAAGGGAUAACAUGCCUUCCGCUCAGUGCGAUAGUGGAGGUGACAUUUGUGCGCUUGGUAGAGCACUUCAAAAACACAAGUGCUGCAGCAAAUGAAGCAAUUGGCAACCCAUCAAUGAACUUCCCUGAACGGGUCCAGGAUGACAUGAAUUCAAAAAUGCAGAAAUCCAAGAUGCAUCGCGUGAUUAGCCUAGACACCAAAACAAGAAAUGUUUUCCAGGGGAAAGAGUUUCGGAAUUUUACAGUUCAGUCGAGGCAGAAGAAUGAGGUUGUUCACCUGAAAUCGGAAAGCAUAAGUAAGUUUGGCGAAUCCACAAUACAAGAAAGUGCCACCUGUUCAUGCAACAAACCACAGCUGCUUCACAUGCCCUGCACUCAUGUCAUUGCCGUCUGUUGUCAGAUUGGGGUUAGCACUGCUACAUACAUGUCUCCAUACUACAGCCUGGCCUACCUAGGUAGGAUCUGGAGUGGAAAUUUUGAUGAAUAUAGGAUCUCACGCGGCUACAGAAAUAUCACGCCAUUUGAAUGCAAUACAACAACUUGGAUCCCAGACAAAAGAUUGGAGUGUGGUCUUCCUGUUUUUGUAACAUCGGACUGCCUAGAAACUGUUGCGGACGAGUCAGAGCAACAAUGCAACACUGGAAAUGGAUCUACUGAAGACAAUCAAGGAGCGACAACAUGCACUGAAGAACCUAAUGAGAUUUAA
rnacentral:rRNA from 1 species